rnacentral:rRNA from 1 species
AUUGAACGCUGGCGGCAGGCCUAACACAUGCAAGUCGAGCGAGCGGCGGACGGGUGAGUAAUGUAUGGGAAUCUGCCUGAUGGAGGGGGAUAACUACUGGAAACGGUAGCUAAUACCGCAUACCAUCAGAUGAACCCAGAUGGGAUUAGCUAGUAGGUAGGGUAACGGCUUACCUAGGCGACGAUCCCUAGCUGGUCUGAGAGGAUGACCAGCCACACUGGAACUGAGACACGGCCCAGACUCCUACGGGAGGCAGCAGUGGGGAAUAUUGCACAAUGGGCGCAAGCCUGAUGCAGCCAUGCCGCGUGUGUGAAGAAGGCCUUCGGGUUGUAAAGUACUUUCAGUCGGGAGGCGUUACCGACAGAAGAAGCACCGGCUAACUCCGUGCCAGCAGCCGCGGUAAUAC